rnacentral:snRNA from 1 species
AUCUUUGCGCUUGGGGCAAUGUCCUAGUUAAUGAGGUCUAACCGAGACAGGACAAUUGCUGGUUGAAAACAUUAUCCAAUCUCCGCUUGUUGGUCACCCUUCAAGCAAUUUUUGUCUCCCAUUAAAUGG